CCAGGCUGGGCUAAGAUGGAAAAAUAAAACCAGGGAAUAUAUAAAGAGGACACGCCCGCACGCCAAGCCCAAUCCGGCCGAAAGGUCUGUUUAAACGCACUUUUAAGCGCCAGUUUUAGCCGCCUCAACCCAUUUUGCCAUCCUCCUCGCCAAAAAGCCAGCUUUAAAUUAUGGCCUAGACCGCGACGGAGGCUAAGGGCCUUUGAUUCGCCGACUCGAAUCGGGUUGUUUCGUUUUGGGGCCCCGUGUUAAAAGCAAGAUAUCAACGGCCUCGAAGCCUAAGCUGAUCCACCAUAGAUACAAAGAUACAUCAUCCGCCCGGCACAAUAUAAAUCAAUCAAGAGCCUACAAGUUCAUUGACAGCUCGCACAGCUUGCCGUGCCCCAAGCCCAGCUCCGCUGUCCCGUUGGUAACAAUUUCCAGCCCCACAUGAUCCAUGAUCCUCGGCUUGGCAGGCCGACUGGCCAACCAGAAAAGAGAAAAAGCCAACAGCCAGAGACCAGGGACCAGGGACCAGCAACCGCCUGUCAAAUUGCCGGACCACAUUGUAAGUUAUGAUUAGCUCACGCGCUUAGAGAUUUAAGGCCGGAAAUGACGUGCAGGCAAGGUGGAGCCAAUAAUUCAAAUUCGAAUCUCCAAUAGUUUUUGAGUGAUUGGAAAUGUGAUUCGGGGUCUGCGCUUUCGGCUCUCUGUUUUCCAUCUGUCUCGAGGGUUAUUGCAUUCUCAUUCAUUUAUUUAUUUUUGCCAUUCGCCCGCUCUUGUGGCAAAUGCAAACACACCCGCAUAAUUUCGCCUGGCAGCAGCCCACUCGCAAUGGGAUGAUGCCGACUUGCCACGCAUAGUUUAUGCAUAAAUUAUCGACUUCAUCUAUGGAAUUGGUCUGGUUUGGAAGCGGGUUUUCGGAUCUAUUGGCAGAGGUGAAGCCAUUUGGUGUGCGCCAAGAGCAGGCUAGAUUUGGAUCAUAUGGCUACAUAAGAAAUAUAUAGUUGCCUUGACUGAAAUAUCUGAUUAAGAAAUACUAUUGUGGGCCAAAAAAUCAAAUACAUUUGUGCCAACUCUUCUCCAAUCCUCGUGCCAAGUAGUUCCUUCCCAAAAUAAAAAACAUUGACU